UCCGGCAUGGUCUAGUGGCUAGGAUACCUGGCUCUCACCCAGGAGGCCCGGGUUCCGAUUCCCGGUGUCGGAA